GAGGUCUUGCCUGCCCAGUGACUCCMGUUCAACGGCCGCGGUACCCUAACCGUGCAAAGGUAGCGUAAUCACUUGUUUUUUAAAUAAAGACUAGUAUGAAAGGCACCACGAGAAUUUAACUGUCUCCUUUUUCUAAUCUGUGAAACUAAUCUCCCCSUGAAAAAGCGGGAAUUUUUAUAUAAGACGAGAAGACCCUAUGGAGCUUCAGACAAAGUAAUAAGUGCCACUUUUUUAACUUCCAGAAAAUACCCGUUAAAACACUUUAUUACCUAGUCUUCGGUUGGGGCGACCAUGGAGUAAAAUCUACCCUCCACGCUGAAUAGGACCUCCUUAAGCAAAGAGCUACAACUCUAAGCAUCAAUAAAUUGACACAUUUGACCCAAUAUUUGAUCAACGAAACAAGUUACCCUAGGGAUAACAGCGCCAUCCACUUCAAGAGCCCUUAUCAACAAGUGGGUUU
rnacentral:rRNA from 1 species